rnacentral:rRNA from 1 species
GUGAACGCUGGCGGUAGGCCUAACACAUGCACGUCGAACGGCAGCACAGUAAGAGCUUGCUCUUACGGGUGGCGAGUGGCGGACGGGUGAGGAAUACAUCGGAAUCUACUUUUUCGUGGGGGAUAACGUAGGGAAACUUACGCUAAUACCGCAUACGACCUACGGGUGAAAGCAGGGGAUCUUCGGACCUUGCGCGAUUGAAUGAGCCGAUGUCGGAUUAGCUAGUUGGCGGGGUAAAGGCCCACCAAGGCGACGAUCCGUAGCUGGUCUGAGAGGAUGAUCAGCAAAACGGGAACUGAGACACGGUCCAGACUCCUACGGGAGGCAGAAGUGGGGAAUAUUCGACAGUGGGCGCAAGCCUGAUCCAGCCAUACCGCGUGGGUGAAGAAGGCCUUCGGGUUGUAAAGCCCUUUUGUUGGGAAAGAAAAGCAGAAGGUUAAUACCCCGCUGUUCUGACGGUACCAAAAGAAUAAGCACCGGCUAACUUCGUG